CUCACCUGUUCUUUCUGAGACAAAUCAUCUGCCAGGUUUCCGCCUCGGGACACCCAAGCUCAGCACAGACAGCCUAGCAGCCUGGGUGACAGGAUCCCAGGGGACAGGAUUCUCUCCUUGCCAUGGGGAUGAGGACAAAUUCUCCCUUCAUCCUUGAGAUUGGACUCCCGCCACACAUCCUGGAGGAGCCUACAGAGAAGCCGGCAGGUCUCCCUCACCUGGAUGGUGCCAGCGGGUGGCCUGGACCACCCAGAGGCCCUCUCCUGCACCUGACAGGAAGCCCCUGGGGCAUACGUCUCCCCUGCCACUUCCACUGUGGCCACUGGAAGUGUGGCAGAGAAAAUAGCUAGGACAAAAAGAAGUCAAUGAUUUCAACCAACGGAAUUUCUUUGUCCUUUGUAAAAAUCAACACAUGAUCUGUUACUGAUUGGGAUGUGAAAUAAAACUAAAAAUAACAGCACACUGAGCCUGGCUCAGGGCUCAGCUCACCUUUACCACGGUCCAAGUUCAGUUUAUCAGAUCCCAAGGAGCAGCUAAGCAGCAA
rnacentral:lncRNA from 1 species